rnacentral:rRNA from 1 species
AACGAACGCUGGCGGCAGGCCUAACACAUGCAAGUCGAGCGCCCCGCAAGGGGAGCGGCGGACGGGUGAGUAACACGUGGGAAUUUUCCUCAAGGUAGGGAACAACUCAGGGAAACUUGGGCUAAUACCCUAUGAAGCAGAGAUGCCAAAGAUUUAUCGCCUUGGGAUAAGCCCGCGUCAGAUUAGGUAGUUGGUGGGGUAACGGCCUACCAAGCCUGUGAUCUGUAGCUGGUCUGAGAGGACGAUCAGCCACAUUGGGACUGAGACACGGCCCAAACUCCUACGGGAGGCAGCAGUGGGGAAUCUUGCGCAAUGGGCGAAAGCCUGACGCAGCCAUGCCGCGUGAAUGAUGAAGGUCUUAGGAUUGUAAAGUUCUUUAGCCUGUGACGAUGAUGACGGUAACAGGAGAAUAAGCCCCGGCUAACUUCGUGCCAGCCGCCGCGGUAA